rnacentral:rRNA from 1 species
UACGUAGGGGGCAAGCGUUAUCCGGAUUCACUAGGCGUAAAGGGAGCGCAGGCGGCACGGCAAGUCUGGUGUGAAAGCCCGGGGCCCAACCCCGGGACUGCAUUGGAAACUGCCGGGCUGGAGUGCCGGAGGGGUAAGCGGAAUUCCUGGUGUAGCGGUGAAAUGCGCAGAUAUCAGGAAGAACACCGGUGGCGUAGGCGGCUUACUGGACGGCAACUGACGCUGAGGCUCGAAAGCGUGGGGAGCAAACAGG